GAGGGUGUAGCUCAAGUGGUAGAGCAUAUGCUUAAUAUGCACAAGGUCCUGGGUUCAAUCCCCAGUACCUCCA
rnacentral:tRNA from 1 species